GAUGAACGCUGGCGGCAGGCCUAACACAUGCAAGUCGGGCGGUAACACAGGGAGCUUGCUCCUGGGUGACGAGCGGCGGACGGGUGAGUAAUGUCUGGGAAACUGCCUGAUGGAGGGGGAUAACUACUGGAAACGGUAGCUAAUACCGCAUAACGUCGCAAGACCAAAGGGGGGGACCUUCGGGCCUCUUGCCAUCAGAUGUGCCCAGAUGGGAUUAGCUAGUAGGGGGGGUAAUGGCUCACCUAGGCGACGAUCCCUAGCUGGUCUGAGAGGAUGACCAGCCACACUGGAACUGAGACACGGUCCAGACUCCUACGGGAGGCAGCAGUGGGGAAUAUUGCACAAUGGGCGCAAGCCUGAUGCAGCCAUGCCGCGUGUGUGAAGAAGGCCUUCGGGUUGUAAAGCACUUUCAGCGAGGAGGAAGGCGGUGAGGUUAAUAACCUCAUCGAUUGACGUUACUCGCAGAAGAAGCACCGGCUAACUCCGUGCCAGCAGCCGCGGUAA
rnacentral:rRNA from 1 species